rnacentral:rRNA from 1 species
GGCGGCGUGCCUAACACAUGCAAGUCGAGCGGGGUUACUGGGGUUCAGCUUGCUGAACGCACUGACCCAGCGGCGGACGGGUGAGUAACGCGUGAGCAAUCUGCCUCAUACAGGGGGAUAACAGGCGGAAAACGCCUGCUAAUACCGCAUAAGACCACGCCACCGCAUGGUGGAGCGGUCAAAGGGUGCACAGACGAGAGGCUGUGCAUACCGGUAUGAGAUGAGCUCGCGUCCCAUUAGCUUGUUGGUGAGGUAACGGCUCACCAAGGCGACGAUGGGUAGCCGACCUGAGAGGGUGAUCGGCCACACUGGGACUGAGACACGGCCCAGACUCCUACGGGAGGCAGCAGUGGGGAAUAUUGCGCAAUGGGGGGAACCCUGACGCAGCAACGCCGCGUGAGCGAAGAAGGCCUUCGGGUCGUAAAGCUCUGUCAUAGGGGAAGAGGAGAAGACGGUACCCUAUGAGGAAGCCCCGGCUAACUACGUG